rnacentral:lncRNA from 1 species
AAUAUCAAAGCAGCACUCUCUUUGGCAAAAGUUGUUUUGUUCUUCAAUGAAAGCAAAACUUCAACAACUUAGAAACCCUCUGCUAAUAGUGAAAUAUGUUUUUGUUUCUAGGUUGAACAGGUCUUUGUUUUAGCUCUUACAACUGUAAACUCACAUCUCGAUUAGAGAUUCUUGUGGGUAUUUUUCUCUUUAUUUUAUGUUGAACUGUGGUGUUUAGUUAGAGUUAGCUAAUGGAGUCUUUCAAGUAGAUUUACAUGGAAAAAGGUGUAGCAAUAGAGUUAUUGCUAGUAAGGAUUAAGAGGUUAAUUCCUAGGAAGCAUAGAGGUGUAAUCUGAAUCUUGUUUGGUGAUAGCGAAGAGGUUGAGAAAUCCUAAUGGAGUAGGUCGUGAUUUUACUCCCUUGAGCAAGGAGAUUUCCACGUAAACAUCUUGCAUCUUUACUUUACUGCUAUAUAUUUAUGUUCUGGUCUGCUUAGAGACCUGAUAAUGUAUCAGAUCCCUAACUCUGUGGUGGACUCGUACAAAUCAUUAACUACAACUUGAUAUAUACCAUACUCUGUGGUACACUUAUUUAUGGACCGCGACUGUCACAUAUAUUGGUUCUCUUUAGAUUACCUAAUAUCGUAGUAGAUAAUAUAAUUAACAUUUACGCUGUCAAUAUAUAUAAGUUAAAUUAUUACCUGCAUGCCUCAGGCAAUUCCUCAGGCUUAGCAGGACUAGGAGCCAUGACAGAAUAAAGUGAAUCCCUCCAAUUUGCCGCAAGAGCUUUAUCACUAAACAAAUCAAAAUUGGAGUUAUACAUAACAUUCCUUGCAACAUCUCUACUAUAGUAUGGCUUUUUUAUGUCUACAUCUUGCUCAUGAAAACGUCGCGUCCCUCGCAACAUUUCAUCUAGGAUUGACACUGGAAUACCAUGAUUGAUCACUUGGAAAAAACCCCAUGUCUCUGAUGCUUCUUGAAUUUGUUUAACUAUUUCUUUCUUGUUGUUGUUGAUGUUCUGGAGGUCUAUUAAAGGGAAUAUGAAAUGUGUAGUUUUAGGAUUUGAGGGGUUAUGUUGUAAAGCCUCCGGAUGAUUGAAUAUUUUAGGUACUUCAGUAAUUCCAGCAUCAAUAAGACCUUUAACACCUGCUUUUGUGUCAUCAAAGGCUUUUUGUUCACUAUACUUGUCAUAGUUUUGUUGUGUGUUAAAGGCUGCCAUGAGGUUUAUUGGAGCAAGUACCAAACUAGUAAUGAAAAGCUGUGAAACACAAAAUUUGAUGAUAUGGAUUUAAGUUCAGACUUCAGUAUGGCAUAUUUAUAGUGACAAUUUUUCUUGGUAAGCACAAUAGUACCCAACUUGAAGGCAAGAUUGUUGCACUUUCCUUGGCCAAAACCAUGCCAUGCACAAGUGAUGUAUCAUUUUUAGUCAGCUUCAAAUUUUGCUAUAAAUAAAAUGAGUUGACUUUUCAAAUAGCCACUCAAACAAUAUUUAUUAUCUCAUAUAGUAAUAUUUUGCUUGAACUUGUUCGAAUCGAGAUAUUAGGGUAACUAAUCUAUUCAGCGGUGUAGUCAGAAUUUUUAUUAAGGGUGUCAGACUAUAAAGAAGUAAGAGCACACAAAAAAGAAUUUACUAAUGAGAAGAAUAUAAUUACAUCACCACAACUGCACUUGACGAGGUUUCAUCUCUUGAAAUAUUUAUAUAAUAGCAUCAUUAGAAAUAUUAAUAAAAAUACAUUUUUUUUCCUACAUAAGAAACCAAGUAACUGCUCAAAAGUUCAUCAUUCAUUUGAUUCCGCAAGUCAUUUUUAAUAAAUUUCAUUGACGAAAAAGCUCUUUCAAUGAAUGCAGUGGCAAUUGGUAGAAAC